GAAGGUAUAGCUCAGUAGUAAAGUGUGUGCUUAGCAUGCAUGAGGUCCUGGGUUCGAUCCCCAGUACUUCCA
rnacentral:tRNA from 1 species